AUAACAACUGACGGUAACGUCGUUACUUGAUUGUGCUAUAAAACUAAAUACUACUGAAAUGUUUUCACAUCGAUUCCUCCCUCCUGGAUUUUUCAGUCGUGUUUGUGAUUUUUUUUUUUGUUUGUUUUUGCAAUUGAAAUAACUGAAUUUGUUAAGCUACUUUAGAGAUAUUUACAAUGAAUUAUGCAAUAUUUGUCUUGAUGCAUGACAACAAAUGGGACUUUUUCUUACUCCCAAUUUUGAUCUCAUACUUCAACUUGACAUGAAGUAAGGCUGGAGCCUUACUUCCAGCCUUGGUGUUUCUUACUGCCAACGUGGCAGUAAGAAAUACUGCCACAUUGGCAAUACUUAUACCUGAUGUUUUUGACCAUAUUUGUGAAAUAUUUGCAAUAAACUCACAAUUAUGCAUUAUGCGGGGGAUAUGUUGCUUUUGCGCUAAUUUCUGCGAUCUCUGGAAGGUGACAAACUGGAGGGCCAGAUAGAUGUAAUUUGGGACUUUGCAGACAAAAACUGCUUUGAUUUGAUUGAUACAAGAAUAUUGAAGCCCACAACUAUUAUCCUAAAGGCUCUGUUCAUAUCCAUGUGUCUGUUUAGUCUAGAUGGCCACAUUAAAAGUUAUGGUGGGCCGGAUUCAACCAACAUGGACUUCUACAAGUUCUGUCUAAAGAGCUUUGUGACUUUUCCAGGCAUGAUGAAGGCAGGUUCAUAGAUAAACUUAAAAACACUCUUAGAGCUGGGAUCCAGCUGGGAUGUAUAACUCUUAACUUGAUUUCAUAAUUGGAUUGGACUGACUGCAUUGUUCUGUAAAUAAACUGGGUCUGUUGGGUCUUUUAAAGUGUCUUGAGGUGACAUUUGUUAUGAAUCUGAGUUAUAGUAGUAAACUAAGGAGAAUUAAAUGAACCACAGCAGGAAUAACAGGCAGACAUGGAGAUCAAAAGUUUAAUCCAACAAGGAGAGGACUAAGACGGGAAGCAGAGAAACCAAGAAGAGGGACUAUUGGGGGGGAGGGAGCAGGGUUGCAUCUGUUAGAGACUGAAGGAGCUGAGGGAAAAUGACUAAUUGGUGUGGAAUGAAUCCACUGGGGAAACGGUGAGAUCAGGGAAACGAAAUAAGCCUCUGAAACUUUAAGCAUGACCCGAAAUUAAAGUGAUCAAAAUAUUGAAAUGUAAGAAUGAAAAGCAACAAAAAAUAACCCAGAAGUUCAAACCAGAAUGACUCACUAAACUCCAACCACAUUUUAGCGGGACAGUUACUCUUAAAUGGACAGUAUUAUGACUUUUCCAGGCACAUGGUGUCAUUUUAUAACACAAUCAAGCAAGUGCAGAACCUUUGGCUGUUAUAAAAACGCUAUAAAUAUCACAUACGACUUAAAAGAAAUUUGACUUUGUAAUUUAGCGCUUUGAAAUUGGGUCUCUGUCUCUUCAAAAGCUUCUGCUCGUUCUGAAACUCCAUCUUCAGGAAGUCAUGACAACAUGGCUCCUCCAUUAACCCUUUAACAACAUUUUUACCAAAGUUUCACUGAGAAGAAGCUCCUAUGAUGAGCUCAGCUGAUGCCCAGUUCCACCAGGUGUUUGCUAACUGCUGCUGGCUAGUCUGAAGGGGCUGAGUGGGAGAGUCGAUGGUUAGGGCAGCCCUGCGAGGCGAAAGCUCGGAAACUGCAGCUCUGAGGGGGCGGAGCUAGGUCCACCCCUGCGAUUUGCACAACUGAAUGGUUGCCAUGGAGAUUAAAGGAUUUCUCAAACAUGCACGAAGGAAUCAAGGCAACGCUCCAGGUUUGUUUUUGACAUGAUAUAAAGCUAAACAAAAAAGUUGAUCUUGCAUGAUACCGCCCCUUUAAUAGAAAUGUUUUAUUCUCAAUACGUUUCACACAGCAAGAUCUUUGGUGCGGCGCCACUUCCUGUCUCUAUUUCCUGUUUAAAUAAUCUUUGACUUUGGUGUUCAAAAUGUCCCAAUGUAAACAUGACAAAUGUUUACAUGGUUCAUAAAACAGAAUUUGCGUAAACCACUCUAGAGUUCUUGAGACAGAGGUUGUUUUUAAUCUCGGCUCCUCUCUGAUGAACCGUUAGCUCGAGCCUCUUAGACUAGCUAAUCCGGAUUCACGACAAGAGAAGAUGCCGAAGAAGGCAAGACAUUAACUACUCAUUACUUCUCAGCAGAACCUCAUCUGAAAAAUUCUCCACUAUCCCUUUAAAGAUGCACUGUCCUUUCAGAAGCUGUGCUAUAAAUAUCUCUUUUUAACUCUUGAUCGUUCCUGUUUGGGUGUUUAUCUGAUGAACUAAAUUAAUUCUGGCUGAUUUUUAUUUUUUCUUUCUCACUCUUACGAGCGGAGUCUGCUUCGUUUUGUAAAGCUGGUAGCUUUAAGUGUGUGACUCAGCCUGACAGCUGUACAGAUGUGUGUGUGUGUGUGUGUGUUCCUGUGUUGGUGCCACGUUUAUAAAAAUGUGUUAAUUUGCCAUCUCUUAGUUCGUGAACCGAUCCGCUGUUUGGAAUGUGACGCGUCGCUACGACUUUCUCGCUUAUUCUUUCGCCCUGUGCAUAAAGCAAGUUUUGAAAUGGCAUAUACAGAAACGGUGCAACUCAGUAGUGUGCUUGUGUGCAUUCAGCUAGCCGGUUUUUCAAAAUCCUGACGUUUGCGUUUAAUCACUGGGUCUCUUCGGGGGUUUUGGGCUACAUGUCGGAAGUCCCAUUUCAUGUUAUUGUUUCUUUAAUUUAACUGGGAUUUUAAAAGGAAGUGACCCCCCCCAAAAAAAAAAAAACAAGACCAGCUCCCGUGUUGUUUGUAUUGCAGAAAGCAGGAUGGAUGUGCAGAGAGACGCUAAACAAAAACUGGACUCUGCGGACUGCUCGGAGCUGCAGGUUUAACUUGUCAUAGCAAGAGGAAGUGAUUAUAAACCGUAGCGCGGCUUCCUUCCCACGCAGGUUUCCCGCCUGCAAGCGGAGCAGCAGGCCAGGCUGUUUUCUAACUCGCUGGAAAGUACAAAGCAAGAAUAAACCAAGAUCAUUUCACCGUUUGGGUUUUUUUUGUUGUUGUUGUUGUAGUUUUUAAAGUUAAAAUUAUUGUCUGUUCAAAAGAAAAACUCAAUUAAAUGUUGCGAUCUACAGUAAAACAUACGGUUUACAGGGGAAAAAAGAAAACUUUUUUAAAAUAAAUUUGCACCAUUCAUACAUGGGAAAACUCACAUUCACAGCAAACAUCAUUUCAAUGCACUUUCCAAGACAAGCUGAUCCACUUUAUACGCAGACGUAGGUCCAAUUCAGUCAAACGCACGUAUUCGAAUUCAAUUCUGUCCUAGUUUUAAACACUUUGGUUCAUUUCAGGGGUAAAAAAAGACGUUUUGUUCAGACGUUGUCACUUAGGCCACAACUGUCAACAAAAAUAUGACGACGGGCCAAAAAAAAGUCAAAUUUUUAAUAACUAAAAUCGCCAGAAAUGUUACAUUUUUUUUAAGGUAUUUUAAUGAAACUCCAAAUUUUUUGUUGUUUUUUUAUGGGAACCAGAUCAUAGAUCUAGAACUUGCUAAAUGACGUCCAGCUUGCUUGUAAUUUUGAAGAAAAUCUACAAACAAAUGUAUCGGUUCUCAUCAGCCAAACAGGAUCUAAGUCAGUCUUCAUUUCAAAACACGUUUUUUUUUUUAAUGCAACAUUUAAAAGCAGGUUUGGGUGCACCAAAGUGAACUUCACAUGUCAAUGAGUGGAUGGGCUCCUGGUUACCAUGACAACAGGAGAAACUCAGAAAGCUUAGAAAAGACUAUCCCUUUGUGUUGCGUGUAACAUUUUUUUUUGUGAGCGGAUUUGAAUUUAUAGGUCACGGUUUUUGUCCUAAUUUGUUUAAUUUAUGUUUGGUCAGGGGAGCCGCGUAAAAAUCAGUCCAUCCGCCGCAGAACGGAGAGGAAAACAAACGCGGAAUCACCAAUUUUAUUUCUACAUUAAAUAAUAAUGAUUAUUAUUUUAUAGCAGUAGAAGCUCCUUCAGUGGUUUCACCGAGGAGAGAAAACGCCGCUCUGCAGAUGCACUUUGACCUGGUUCAUAAAAAGGUCUCCUGUGAAUUCUGCACUUGCAUUAAUAAUACGUGAUUUAAAUGUUUGUUGUUGUUUUGUUUUUUUUAUUUGAUUGCGGUAAGCUUUCAGAAAAUGUGACUCCAUAACAUCAGACGUGUGGCCAUCCAUCCAUCAUUUAUUGUCUGUGACUCUUCCAGUAGUCGGAGUCAAAAUGUGGACUCGGACAUUUCAGCAAUCCAUCACAGAGAGUCCUGCAGUCCACCUUAAUGGUCCACGGAGCAGUAUGUGUGGGGAUUUAGUUUUUUCGAGGAAACACCUCUGUACAGUCGCAUUUUAAAGCCUGUUAGACUUCACAGCCAGCCCAACCCGUCAUUACAUUAGGGUGGGGUCAGGCGCGGUCUGUUAACGACCACACCGAACCGGGAUGUGUCAUUCCACAGUCCCUCUCUGCGGCACCAGGCGCCGCCUGCUUCGGCCCGAGUCAGAAGAGGAGAAAAGGAAACAUGAACAUAUGCUGUGCGCUGCCUGGUCCUCUUGAGAGCUUGUCGACUUUUCUCCAGAACAUGUGAGGUCAUGUUGGCGUGUUCCCGCCGCAGCGACGCGGCUAUUAAUGUCCCGCUCAGCGUCAUCGCGCACGUCCUAAAGUGUUUCCGGUGUCAGUUGCUCGGCACCGCAGACGCGCUGCUUCCUCGCGGACGUUAAGCGGCUUUCAAACAAGCAGGAGGCGAUUCACGGUUCAGACAACAGCUGACGGUUUGUGCGCCGGUGGACAGACGGAGAAGUUCUCUUUCUUUUUCUGAAAACCGUCGCCUCUUUUUCUAAUCAAGAGCAACAACAUGUAGCUCUUGUGAUGUUACGUUAUUAACACUGCUUCUGUGUCCCUAAUUAAUACUUUUUUUUUUUGUUCUUUUUGCGGCACUUGAUGCCACGAAGUGUGUAAAGGUUUAGCGCAUUACUUUACAAAGAGCGCUUUUUAAAAUUGUUCCCAUUUUGUCAUGUUACAGCUACAGACCUCUGUAUUUCAUAUUGAUUUUCAGUGAAAGCAGCACGGGGUUUUCGCAUUAUUUUACGAGCAUAAAUCUGAAAAGUAUGGCAUGUAUUUUUGUCCAGACCACAUGAAUAAACACUACGUAGAACCGGCAUUUGCCAACAGCAGAUCUUUUGCCGCAUGCCUACCGGCAGCUUGCGCAAGUUGGAAUUACAAAAAUAAAUUUGCUUAAUGGCAACAUGGCAAUGUAAAAAAAAAAAAAA